GCCAGGCAGGGCACGGUGUGCCUGUAGUCCCAGCUACUCAGGAGGCUGAGGAAGGAGGAUAGCUCGAUCCAGGGAGUUCCGGGCUGCAGUGCACUGUGCCAAUAGGGUGUCUACAGUUAGUUCAGAAUCAAUAUGGUAACCUUCUGGGAUCGGGGAACCACCAGGUUGCCCAAGGAGGGGUGAAUCAGCCCAGGUUGGAAACGGAGCAGGUGGAAACUCCCGUGCUGACCAGUAGUGUGAUCGCACCUGUGAACAGCCCCUGCACUGUAGCCUGGGCAAAAUAGCAAGACCCCAUCUCU
rnacentral:SRP_RNA from 1 species